UGUGGGAGCGGGCUUGCUCGCGAAUGCGGUGUGUCAGUGACAUCUCUGUUGACUGGCACACCGCAUUCGCGAGCAAGCCCGCUCCCACA
rnacentral:misc_RNA from 1 species